GAACGAGAGAGUGGAGCAAUCCAUGAGUACAGUGGCGACCGGGUGAGUAACACGUGACCAACCUGCCCUUGAGUGGGGGAUAACUCCGGGAAACCGGGGCUAAGACCGCAUAACAUCCUCGGAUCGGAAGAACUGGGGAUCAAAGGAGCAAUCCGCUUAAGGAGGGGGUCGCGGCUGAUUAGCUGGUUGGUAGGGUAAUGGCCUACCAAGGCGAAGAUCGGUAGCCGGCCUGAGAGGGCGCACGGCCACACUGGAACUGAAACACGGUCCAGACUCCUACGGGAGGCAGCAGUGGGGAAUUUUGCGCAAUGGGGGAAACCCUGACGCAGCAACGCCGCGUGGAGGAUGAAGUCCUUUGGGACGUAAACUCCUUUCGACCGGGACGAUAAUGACGGUACCGGUGGAAGAAGCACCGGCUAACUCUGUGCCAGCAGCCGCGGUAAU
rnacentral:rRNA from 1 species